rnacentral:rRNA from 1 species
AGUGAACGCUGGCGGUAGGCCUAACACAUGCAAGUCGAACGGCAGCACAGUAAGAGCUUGCUCUUACGGGUGGCGAGUGGCGGACGGGUGAGGAAUACAUCGGAAUCUACUUUUUCGUGGGGGAUAACGUAGGGAAACUUACGCUAAUACCGCAUGCGACCUACGGGUGAAAGCAGGGGAUCUUCGGACCUUGCGCGAUUGAAUGAGCCGAUGUCGGAUUAGCUAGUUGGCGGGGUAAAGGCCCACCAAGGCGACGAUCCGUAGCUGGUCUGAGAGGAUGAUCAGCCACACUGGAACUGAGACACGGUCCAGACUCCUACGGGAGGCAGCAGUGGGGAAUAUUGGACAAAGGGCGCAAGCCUGAUCCAGCCAUACCGCGUGGGUGAAGAAGGCCUUCGGGUUGUAAAGCCCUUUUGUUGGGAAAGGAAAGCAGCAGGUUAAUACCCCGCUGUUCUGACGGUACCCAAAGAAUAAGCACCGGCUAACUUCGUG